rnacentral:snoRNA from 1 species
AUCCCAUAAUGAGGACACUUACGAAGUAACUCCUUGAAUCUCUCCCCAGCCUCAUACAAAUACAAGUCACUUAAUUGUUGGAAAGUUGUGAUCUCGUUCCUCAACUU